rnacentral:rRNA from 1 species
UACGAAGGUGGCAAGCGUUGUUCGGAUUUACUGGGCGUAAAGGGAGCGUAGGUGGUUAGGUAAGCCCUCCGGGAAAUCUUCAGGCUUAACCUGAAAAGGUCGGGGGGGACUGCCUAGCUAGAGGGCGGGAGAGGAGCGGCGGAAUUCCCGGUGUAGCGGUGAAAUGCGUAGAGAUCGGGAGGAAGGCCGGUGGCGAAGGCGGCGCUCUGGAACGUUUCUGACACUGAGGCUCGGAAAGCGUGGGGGAGCAAACAGGG